rnacentral:lncRNA from 1 species
UGAAGAUCAGAAAUAAACACUAAACUCUUGCUAAUGGAAGAGUUUUUGCCUACUUUGAUUGUGGAAGGUGAGGAUUUGAGCUGAAGACUCAGUGCAGAAGAUGACCUUUCUCCAGCUGGUGGACAGCAGUUCCAUGUAUCUUGUCAGUAACUCUUGAGAUCGGCUUCAUAGAGACACCAUUACCAGAAUCCAUCCAGGGACACCUUUGCACUCUCUCCACUAACAUUGAAGAGUCCUGAUGAAGCCACUGGUUCUCUGCAGGGCCAUGGACAAGUCACCCAUAUGACUCAUGACACCCAUAUGACAUAUUACUAGGACUGGUACAACACUGUAGAAAAAUCUAAAGACAGAGUGAAUAGUGUGUAUGCACAUGUGGGUAGCUUCAAAUUUAUCUAGCACAGAAGUUAAAUCAAUAAAUUUGCAGGUUUAUCUC